GACGAACGCUGGCGGCGUGCUUAACACAUGCAAGUCGAACGGUGAAGCGCCUUCCUUUUUGGUGGGUGUGGAUGAGUGGCGAACGGGUGAGUAACACGUGAGUAACCUGCCCCCUUCUUCUGGAUAACCGCAUGAAAGUGUGGCUAAUACGGGAUAUUCUGGGUCUGUCGCAUGAUGGGUCUGGGAAAGAUAUUGUUUCGGUGGGGGAUGGGCUCGCGGCCUAUCAGCUUGUUGGUGGGGGGAUGGCCUACCAAGGCGGUGACGGGUAGCCGGCCGGAGAGGUUGGACGGUCACACUGGGACUGAGACACGGCCCAGCCUCCUACGGGAGGCAGCGGUGGGGAAUAUUGCACGAUGGGCGCAAGCCUGAUGCAGCGACGCCGCGUGAGGGAUGGAGGCCUUCGGGUUGUGAACCUCUUUCGCCAGUGAAGCAGGCCUGCCUCGUUUGUGGGUGGGUUGACGGUAGCUGGAUAAGAAGCGCCGGCUAACUACGUG
rnacentral:rRNA from 1 species